rnacentral:rRNA from 1 species
AAACGACUCUCGGCAACGGAUAUCUCGGCUCUCGCAUCGAUGAAGAACGUAGCGAAAUGCGAUACCUGAUGUGAAUUGCAGAAUCCCGUGAACCAUCGAGUCUUUGAACGCAAGUUGCGCCCGAGGCCACCAGGCCGAGGGCACGUCUGGCUGGGUGUCACGCAAC